GUCGUUAUGAUCGUCGUCUUAUCAGCAGCUCUGCUGAUUUUCUACAUGAAGAGCAGGACCACUAAACCCAGAGGACCUCCUGUGGAAACAGACACAGAGGUCAACAGGUUGUAUGAAGAGAUCAGAGAGUGUGACAUAGCGAGCAGGUCACCUCCUGUAGAAGUGUCUUCAGUUUAUGAUCACCCCAAA